rnacentral:rRNA from 1 species
AUGAACGCUAGCUACAGGCUUAACACAUGCAAGUCGAGGGGCAGCAUUUUAGUUUGCUUGCAAACUGAAGAUGGCGACCGGCGCACGGGUGAGUAACACGUAUCCAACCUGCCGAUAACUCCGGAAUAGCCUUUCGAAAGAAAGAUUAAUACCGGAUAGUAUACGAAUAUCGCAUGAUAUUUUUAUUAAAGAAUUUCGGUUAUCGAUGGGGAUGCGUUCCAUUAGUUUGUUGGCGGGGUAACGGCCCACCAAGACUACGAUGGAUAGGGGUUCUGAGAGGAAGGUCCCCCACAUUGGAACUGAGACACGGUCCAAACUCCUACGGGAGGCAGCAGUGAGGAAUAUUGGUCAAUGGGCGAGAGCCUGAACCAGCCAAGUAGCGUGAAGGAUGAAGGCUCUAUGGGUCGUAAACUUCUUUUAUAUGGGAAUAAAGUUUUCCACGUGUGGAAUUUUGUAUGUACCAUAUGAAUAAGGAUCGGCUAACUCCGUGCCAGCAGCCGCGGUAAUACGGAGGAUCCGAGCGUUAUCCGGAUUUAUUGGGUUUAAAGGGAGCGUAGGUGGAUUGUUAAGUCAGUUGUGAAAGUUUGCGGCUCAACCGUAAAAUUGCAGUUGAAACUGGCAGUCUUGAGUACAGUAGAGGUGGGCGGAAUUCGUGGUGUAGCGGUGAAAUGCUUAGAUAUCACGAAGAACUCCGAUUGCGAAGGCAGCUCACUAGACUGUCACUGACACUGAAGCUCGAAAGUGUGGGUAUCAAACAGGAUUAGAUACCCUGGUAGUCCACACAGUAAACGAUGAAUACUCGCUGUUUGCGAUAUACAGUAAGCGGCCAAGCGAAAGCAUUAAGUAUUCCACCUGGGGAGUACGCCGGCAACGGUGAAACUCAAAGGAAUUGACGGGGGCCCGCACAAGCGGAGGAACAUGUGGUUUAAUUCGAUGAUACGCGAGGAACCUUACCCGGGCUUAAAUUGCAACAGAAUAUAUUGGAAACAGUAUAGCCGUAAGGCUGUUGUGAAGGUGCUGCAUGGUUGUCGUCAGCUCGUGCCGUGAGGUGUCGGCUUAAGUGCCAUAACGAGCGCAACCCUUAUCUUUAGUUACUAACAGGUCAUGCUGAGGACUCUAGAGAGACUGCCGUCGUAAGAUGUGAGGAAGGUGGGGAUGACGUCAAAUCAGCACGGCCCUUACGUCCGGGGCUACACACGUGUUACAAUGGGGGGUACAGAAGGCGGCUACCUGGUGACAGGAUGCUAAUCCCAAAAACCUCUCUCAGUUCGGAUCGAAGUCUGCAACCCGACUUCGUGAAGCUGGAUUCGCUAGUAAUCGCGCAUCAGCCAUGGCGCGGUGAAUACGUUCCCGGGCCUUGUACACACCGCCCGUCAAGCCAUGAAAGCCGGGGGUACCUGAAGUACGUAACCGCAAGGAGCGUCCUAGGGUAAAACUGGUAAUUGGGGCU